GAGGCCGCGCGCACAGAGCGAGCUCUUGCAGCCUCCCCGCCCCUCCUGCAACGCUCGACCCCAGGAUUCCCCCGGCUCGCCUGUCCGCCAUGGCCGACAAGGAAGCAGCCUUCGACGACGCAGUGGAAGAACGAGUGAUCAACGAGGAAUACAAAAUAUGGAAAAAGAACACCCCUUUUCUUUAUGAUUUGGUGAUGACCCAUGCUCUGGAGUGGCCCAGCCUAACUGCCCAGUGGCUUCCAGAUGUAACCAGACCAGAAGGGAAAGAUUUCAGCAUUCAUCGACUUGUCCUGGGGACACACACAUCGGAUGAACAAAACCAUCUUGUUAUAGCCAGUGUGCAGCUCCCUAAUGAUGAUGCUCAGUUUGAUGCGUCACACUACGACAGUGAGAAAGGAGGUAGGAAUCUUAAAGGUGAAAGAAGUAAAGAUGUGUGGGUCAUAUCUUUUAUGUCUUUGAAUUAUAAAAGUUAUGUGCACUUUGAUAAAGUAAACUCUGACUUUAGAAACAAUAUUUAAGGUUG
rnacentral:sRNA from 1 species